rnacentral:rRNA from 1 species
CCUACGGGAGGCAGCAGUGAGGAAUAUUGGUCAAUGGGCGAGAGCCUGAACCAGCCAAGUCGCGUGAAGGAUGACGGACCUAUGGGUUGUAAACUUCUUUUAUAUGGGAAUAAAGUGAGGCACGUGUUCCUUUUUGUAUGUACCAUAUGAAUAAGCAUCGGCUAACUCCGUGCCAGCAGCCGCGGUAAUACGGAGGAUGCGAGCGUUAUCCGGAUUUAUUGGGUUUAAAGGGUGCGUAGGUGGUUUAUUAAGUCAGCGGUGAAAGUUUGGGGCUCAACCAUAAAAUUGCCGUUGAAACUGGUUGCCUUGAGUACAUUUGAGGUAGGCGGAAUUCGUGGUGUAGCGGUGAAAUGCAUAGAUAUCACGAAGAACUCCGAUUGCGAAGGCAGCCUACUAAACUGCAACUGACAUUGAUGCUCGAAAGCGUGGGGAUCAAACAGGAUUAGAUACCCCUGUAGUC